CUGGAGGAGGGAAAGGCUACCCACUCCAGUAUUCUCCCCUGGGAAAUCCCAUGGACAGAGGAUCCUGGCGGGCUGCAGUCCACGGGGUCACAGAGAGACAGACACGACUGAGCGACGGAGCACACACAGCCCUGUGUAUUCUCUACACCACCCCCUCUGGGGUCACUGCCCCAGAGUUCCCUUUGAUCCAGCAGCUGAAGACGUGACCCUUGUGCUAUAGUCUGAAUGUCUGUGUCUCCCUAAAAGCCAUAUGUUGAAAUCCUCCCAGUGGUCAUCAGUUUCGGAGGUGGGGCCUUGGAGGUUGCUUCCCUCACAAGGGUUUAUCAUGAAUCGUGAAUGGGAUUGAGGGUCUUGCCUGGAGAGAUGCCUAACCCUUCUCACCAGAACCUCAGGUGAGCCUUCCCUCUUCCGUGCUGGAAACCAGAGAUCCAACACUGUGAGAAACAAGUUCUGUCCUUUGUGAGCUACUCAGACUACGGAAUUUCGUCCCAGUAGCCCAGACGGGUUGAGACACCCUGUCGGGCCCCACGCACGGCUAGGUUCCUGGGUGGCUGUUAGCUUCCCUUCCUGUUGGGCUCUGCCUGGGUCUCCUGUUGUUCCACCAUAUGAAGAUCAGCCCUGCCCAGAACUCCACAAUAUCUUUGGCUCCUGUCCUUCCUGAAGCUUUUGUCUCAGUUGUGUGAGCAACCCUAGUUUUGCAAAAUCUGAUAUCUUUAACUGCUAACUGAAGAACUCCAAGUCAAUCUUCAUUUUACUGAACUCGAACCUGAGAUAAAAGACAUGAGACCUUGUCUAUCUUACCCAGAGGAUUACUAGCAAAGUCGGCCCUGGAAUUCAAACAUCUUCACAGGUCAGAGCUUCUCCCACUAGAGUGCAUCGACCCCUUUCCAAACAAUACCAGACACACAGCCUGUGCUUGUACCGGAUUUUCACUUUACAAAAGGUAUUCAAGUACAUCAAAAGCAAAAGCGAAGUCGCUCAGUCGUGUCCGUCUCUUUGUGACCCCAGGGGCUACUCAUAGCCUACAAGAUCCCUCCAUCCAUGGGAUUCUCCAGGCAAGAGUACUGGAGUGGGUUGCUCUUUGCUUCUCCAGCGGAUCUUCCCGACCCAGGGAUUGAACCCGCGUCUCCAGCAUUGCAAGCAGACAAUUUUACCGUCUGAGCUACCAGGGAAGCUCAACAACACCAUCCCGUUUUAAAUACGUCGGCUCUGCAAGCCUCCGCCAAUAGCAUCUCCAUGCAGCGUUCUGAAAGUCACGGACAUCAGGUAAAAGUGAUUUAAAACGUCCCUUCUUCUCCAGCAGGCUUCCCUUCAGACCCGCCCAGUUGCCACCCUGGUCUUGAUUUCCUGCCCAGCUUGGAUUUCCUCCUUCCUCUCUCCAAGGUUGGGUCCCUGUUUCCUGGAGAGUAUACCUUCCUCUUUCUCAGUGUAGUCCCUCGUUUGGGUUGACACUUUCUCCAGGAGUUUUCUUUGGUUAAAAGAUGGUUCGGGACUUCCCUCAUGGUGCAGUGGGUAGGAACCUACCCGCCGAUGCAGGGGACACGGGUUCGACCUCUGGCUGGAAAGGCUCCUGUGCUGCAGAGCAGCUAAGCCGGGGCGUCACUGCUGCUGAUACACGCCUAACGCCCAUGCUCUGCGAGGAGGCACCUCCGCGGUGAGAAGACCACGCACCACGGCGGAGCGCGGCCGUGCCGCAGCGACCAGAGAAAACCCGCACACACCAACGGAGACCCGGCGCAACUAGAAAUCUUUUAAAAAUUAAAACACUAAGCGGUUCAAGAGCAGCGGGCACGGUGCUGGCAGCUGCACACAGCUUGUCUCUGGGUCCUGCUGCGCCGUCUGCCUGCCUGACCCGGACACCGGAACUGUGAUCUUCCCCCCCAGGUACUGCUCUGGGGGUCCUCUCCUGGAUAUCCUGUUCUCAAUUUCGUCCAUCUCCCGAGAUUGAAUUUUACUCCCUCUU